UGGCUGCACUGUGGCAGCUGCAUGCUACACCUACACAGCACUGGUGUGCAAACAGCGCAGGUGAUUUAAACAGAAGCCUCACAUGAGAGCAAACAGGAAAAAUGCUUAGUGGCAACUUGGUCUACCCAAGUAUACAAGCAUGAUCUUAACUUUAGACUCUCAGUUUUAGCAAGGCAUAAUCUACUGGAUUGAUUCACCUUCUUAAAGGCUGCUUUCUCCACUGAAAGCAUGUCUCAGACUACAGAAAACAUCUGUCUGUUGAUGAAUACUCUGAAAUGAGGAAGAAAGGAAGGAAGGAAGGAAGGAAGGAAGGAAGGAAGAAAG